rnacentral:rRNA from 1 species
ACGGAGGGUGCAAGCGUUAUUCGGAUUUAUUGGGCGUAAAGGGCGCGUAGGCGGCUUUUUAAGUCAGAUGUGAAAUCCCGGGGCUUAACCUCGGAAGUGCAUUUGAAACUGGGAAGCUUGAGUAUGGGAGAGGGAAACGGAAUUCCUGGUGUAGCGGUGCAAUGCGUAGAUAUCAGGAGGAACACCGGUGGUGAUAGCGGUUUCCCGGACCAUUCCUUUCUCUGAGGCGCGUAGUUCCGGGGAUCAAACAG